CAAAGGGUGAGCUGGUGUAGUCCUCUAAAAAUCUCUUCAGCUUUUGGUAUCAAAUGUUUUGCAAUCCUUUUUUGGGCUCCUGAAAUCCACACCAGGAUGGACCGACCGAGUCAUGUGACCGAGAUUGAUCUCAGAUGCGGAUAUCGCUGUGAAGGUUCUGGUGGGAUCAAAUGGACAAACUCAUGUGUCGGGCAUACGGAGAAGAGCGACAGGAGCAGUUGGUUGGACCCAGAUGGUCCAAGAUGGACGUGUCAAGCGUAAAAAAGAAAAAAAAAGA